rnacentral:rRNA from 1 species
UACGAAGGGGGCUAGCGUUGCUCGGAAUUACUGGGCGUAAAGCGCACGUAGGCGGAUUGUUAAGUCGGGGGUGAAAUCCUGGAGCUCAACUCCAGAACUGCCUUCGAUACUGGCGAUCUCGAGUUCGGGAGAGGUGAGUGGAACUGCGAGUGUAGAGGUGAAAUUCGUAGAUAUUCGCAAGAACACCAGUGGCGAAGGCGGCUCACUGGCCCGGUACUGACGCUGAGGCACGAAAGCGUGGGGAGCAAACAGG